GGGGAUGUAGCUCAGCUGGGAGAGCACCUGCUUUGCAAGCAGGGGGUCGCCAGUUCGAAUCUGGUCAUCUCCA
rnacentral:tRNA from 2 species